UUAAAGAACAAACCGUGAGAGAGAAGGGAGGAAGAAGAAGAAGAAGAGAAAAGAGGGGAAAAUAAGGGAAAAAGAAAAGGAGUUGGAGGAAAUAAGCUUAAAGAUAAUCCUGAUAUUCUACCGGCGGGACGUCAGUAGGAUUUUCUUCGAUAUCAGCUUUGAGUUUUGUUGCUUUCAAGUCAGGUGAGUGGAUAAUUUUCCAUAUGCAUGAGAAAUAGUAUAAAUAUUUGAUUUGUUAAUAUGAAUUGAAUCAUGCUUCUUGAUAAUAUAUAUGUUGAUUAUUAUCCUUGUUAUGAUAAAGCAUGAUCAAUUAUUGAA